rnacentral:rRNA from 1 species
AGCGAACGCUGGCGGUAGGCCUAACACAUGCAAGUCGAACGGCAGCACAGUAAGAGCUUGCUCUUACGGGUUGCGAGUCGCGGACGGGUGAGGAAUAUAACGGAACCUACUUUUUGGUGGGGGAUAACGUAGGGAAACAUACCCUAUUACCCCAUACGACCUAUCGGUGAAAGCAGGGGAUCUUCGAACCUUGCGCGAUAUAUAGACCCGCUGUCGGAUUAGCUAGUUGGCGGGGUAAAGGCCCACCAGGGCUACGAUCCGUAGCUGGUCGGAAUGGAUGAUCGGCCACACUGGAACUGGGACACGGUCAAGACUCCUACGGGAGGAAGCAGUGGGGAAUAUUGGACAAUGGGGGAAAGCCUGAUCCAGACAUACCGCGUGGGUGAAAAAGGCCUUCGGGUUGUAAAGCCUUUUUGUUGGGAAGAAAAAGCAGCAGGUUAAUACCCAGCUGUUCUGACGGUACCGAAAGAAUAAGCACCGGCUAACUUCGUG